AUUGAACGCUGGCGGCAGGCCUAACACAUGCAAGUCGAGCGGAUGAAGGGAGCUUGCUCCUGGAUUCAGCGGCGGACGGGUAAGUAAUGCCUAGGAAUCUGCCUGGUAGUGGGGGAUAACGUCCGGAAACGGGCGCUAAUACCGCAUACGUCCUGAGGGAGAAAGGGGGGGAUCUUCGGACCUCACGCUAUCAGAUGAGCCUAGGUCGGAUUAGCUAGUUGGUGGGGUAAAGGCCUACCAAGGCGACGAUCCGUAACUGGUCUGAGAGGAUGAUCAGUCACACUGGAACUGAGACACGGUCCAGACUCCUACGGGAGGCAGCAGUGGGGAAUAUUGGACAAUGGGCGAAAGCCUGAUCCAGCCAUGCCGCGUGUGUGAAGAAGGUCUUCGGAUUGUAAAGCACUUUAAGUUGGGAGGAAGGGCAGUAAGUUAAUACCUUGCUGUUUUGACGUUACCAACAGAAUAAGCACCGGCUAACUUCGUG
rnacentral:rRNA from 1 species